rnacentral:rRNA from 1 species
UACGUAGGGUGCAAGCGUUGUCCGGAAUUAUUGGGCGUAAAGAGCUCGUAGGCGGUCUGUCGCGUCUGCUGUGAAAACUCAGGGCUUAACCCUGAGCUUGCAGUGGGUACGGGCAGACUAGAGUGCGGUAGGGGGAGACUGGAAUUCCUGGUGUAGCGGUGAAAUGCGCAGAUAUCAGGGAGGGAACACCGGUGGGCGAAGGCGGG